UACGUAGGGAGCAAGCGUUGUCCGGAAUCAUUGGGCGUAAAGCGCGCGUAGGCGGCCCCGUAAGUCCGCUGUGAAAGUCAAAGGCUCAACCUUUGAAAGCCGGUGGAUACUGUGGGGCUAGAGUACGGAAGAGGCGAGUGGAAUUCCUGGUGUAGCGGUGGAAUGCGCAGAUAUCAGGAGGAACACCAAUAGCGAAGGCAGCUCGCUGGGACGGUACUGACGCUAAGGCGCGAAAGCGUGGGGAGCGAACAGG
rnacentral:rRNA from 1 species